GAUGAACGCUAGCGGCAGGCCUAAUACAUGCAAGUCGAGCUGUGUAGCAAUACACAGUGGCGCACGGGUGCGUAACACGUAUGCAACCUACCUAUUAUUGGGGGAUAGCCUUUGGAAACGGAGAUUAAUACCGCAUAAGACAGUGACAUGGCAUCAUGUAGCUGUUAAAGCUUUGGCGAUAAUAGAUGGGCAUGCGUCCAAUUAGUUAGUUGGUGAGGUAAUGGCUCACCAAGACGAUGAUUGGUAGGGGAUCUGAGAGGAUAAUCCCCCACACUGGCACUGAGAUACGGGCCAGACUCCUACGGGAGGCAGCAGUAGGGAAUAUUGGGCAAUGGACGGAAGUCUGACCCAGCCAUGCCGCGUGCAGGAUGACGGCGUUAUGCGUUGUAAACUGCUUUUUUAUAGGAAGAAGAAGCCCUUGCGAGGGAAAGUGACGGUACUAUAAGAAUAAGCACCGGCUAACUCCGUGCCAGCCGCCGCCGUAACAC
rnacentral:rRNA from 1 species